CCUACGGGUGGCAGCAGUGGGGAAUUUUGGACAAUGGGCGAAAGCCUGAUCCAGCAAUGCCGCGUGCAGGAUGAAGGCCCUCGGGUUGUAAACUGCUUUUGUACGGAACGAAAAGCCUGGGGCUAAUAUCCCCGGGUCAUGACGGUACCGUAAGAAUAAGCACCGGCUAACUACGUGCCAGCAUCCGCGGUAAUACGUAGGGUGCAAGCGUUAAUCGGAAUUACUGGGCGUAAAGCGUGCGCAGGCGGUUUUGUAAGACAGUGGUGAAAUCCCCGGGCUCAACCUGGGAACUGCCAUUGUGACUGCAAGGCUAGAGUGCGGCAGAGGGGGAUGGAAUUCCGCGUGUAGCAGUGAAAUGCGUAGAUAUGCGGAGGAACACCGAUGGCGAAGGCAAUCCCCUGGGCCUGCACUGACGCUCAUGCACGAAAGCGUGGGGAGCAAACAGGAUUAGAUACCCCUGUAGUCCC
rnacentral:rRNA from 1 species